rnacentral:lncRNA from 1 species
AUGCAGGGUGGCCCUGUGGACUAUGUUUGAUGUAGCACAUGGCCUAAUGUCAGUUUUGAAAUGCCCAGCAGCUCCUAGGUGGCCUGGGGUGGAUUAUGCCAGCCCUGCUUAAAAUGUUGUCUCAUGGCAAAGUAGAAAACAUCACCCUAGACCUUGUUUUGUACAUAAAAUCUCAGUGUGAAGCUUCCCCGCCCCCCCCCCCCCAGUCAAAAUCGAGCUACUAAAUACACAGUGAACUUUUUGCCACUGCUCUCCCACCCCCAACAAGGUCUCUGUGUAGCCCUGGCUGUCCUGGGACUCACUCUAGACCAGGCUGACCUCAAACCCAGAGAUUCACCUGCCUCUGCCUCCCAAGUGCUAAGAUUAAAGGUGUGCGCCACCACCUGGCUGACAUUGAAGUUUUAAGAAGUACCCUUGAGAUAUCUAACAUGCUGGAACUGAGGCCGCCAUUGAGCCUACCUAUUUGAGGAGGCUCCUGAGAGUUGGGCCUGGUGGUCUCAAGUGGUUACACACAUGAAGGCAGAAGGGACCUUUUAUCCUUAGCACUGUUAACAUCUGGGCAUGUAAUGUCCUUACAGUAAGAGCCGUCCUAUAUACAGUGUGAUGCCCAGUGUUCUAGAAGCCUGCCCAACAGGUCAGGUAGCACCAUCAGGUAGUGGUGAUCAAAGCCCACUGUAGACACUGCCGACAUCCUCUCUAGAUGGCCAUGCUAGUCACACACAUGGUUCACAUGCCUAGCUGCCGAGCCUAAACAGAUCCCAGGUCUCUAUAUCAGUGCUGGGAGGAAUAGCAGGUCAACAGCAGUGACCCCUCUGCCUAAAGUAACAGCCAUUCGUUCACACUUGGAAAAGGUGAGCUUUCUGGUGUGUCAAUUCCACUUUAAAGCUGUUAUUAAAAAUAUACAGGUCCCAAUAUCAGGUGGUUCUGAUGCAGCAGAUAAGCACACAGCCACCAGUCUCCUGAUCUCCAAACUUCUAGAAGACAAUGGUAUUUUGAGUGCUGCAGGUGGUCUUGUUUUGAAGCAGGGUCUUAAUAUAUGGUUCAGGCGAGCUUUGAACUCCUCUCCUAAAGGCUGUGAUCACGGAUGUCUGUGAGUCAUUUUAACCAUUUUUAAGUGCUUGCCAAACAUCCUAGCUUCCAGCCUUUUAAGACUCUCCUGGGAUGCAGGUCUUAGAUACUUGAGUUUGUAGGAUGCUGGAACCCUGCUGGUAGGGUGCUGGAGCACUAGUCUGAACAACUCAGAGAAUCAGGACUAACUUGGGAGAAUCAGAUAUGACUAGUGACAGUAACACAAACCCUGGGCCCUCUUAGAGCUUAACCCCCACCAGGAAGCUGAGAAGCAAAAAGAUAAGCAACGAUUUGUGUUCAGAGAAGGUUGGCUGCAGAGCAAAGGACAAAUCUUGUAAGCCAUCCUUAGCAGCGCUUCAUCUCAAACAGCUCUCAGCAGCCUGGGCAGCAAACGCACGCCAGCUUGUGGGUUAGGACGGGCUGAGUUGGGAGAGUGCUUGCCUAGCAUACAGGAGGUCCUGCUUGUGAUUUCUGCCGCUGCGUAAGCAGGCCAGGCAUGAGAGCAUACAACUGUAACUUCUAAACUCUAGAAUGUGGAGGCAGGAGCGUCAAAAAUUCAAGGUCAUCCUCAGAUACAUAUUUAGUUGAAAGCAAGCCUGAGAUACAGGAGACCCUGUCUCAGAAUACCAACCAAAAACAGCCGGUUAGAGUUGAUCAUGUCCUACAUGCCCAAAUGACUGGUGUCUUAAGUGAUUUUUCACAAUUCCACUCUUUUUUUUUUAAGAUUUAUUUUAUUUGAAUACAUUGUUGCUGUCUUCUGACACACUAGAAGAGGGCUUCAGAUCCCAUAACAGAUGGUUGUGAGCCACCAUGUGGUUGCUGGGAAUUGAACUCAGGUCCUCUGGAAGAGCAGACAGUGCUCUUAACCACUGAGCCAUCUCUCCAGCCCCACAAUUCCACUCUUAAAAUGCUAUUUGCAUCUAUGAAGUUGUUUUAAAGAAUGUUUCAAGCUUUGUGACUGAUUCCCAAAGGACAUAGUGACAUACAGAAAUAAGGGAAAACAUGGCUUUGACAGUUGGUGGCUGUACCCUCCCUAUGACUGGAGGAGGGCAGUUAUCUCAAGGGCUUAAGAACUUGUCACAUGCUCAUACUGUUGCCUGGUUUGCUAACUGUGUCAGCAUUUUUAAAGUCAAGAGGUUUGGUGUAAGAAGUCUCACAUGUGACUUACCUUGGAAAACCCACAAGUGGCAGGAGCUGGCCAGCACACUAGGGACAUGGCCUGGCCCACUUCUGCCGGGUUGGUCCCCUCCAUAUCACUGGCUAAAUACAUUUCCGACUGCUGUCCUGAGACUAGCUAGCCUCAGUCAGGGACCUUGCUUUUCACUCAGCAACUUCAGAGUAUAAGCCUGCCACAGAUGGGUGGAGGGCACCGGCCAACGAACCCAAGUCUAAGCUCCCUUCUGUAGCUGCCAGGACUCCUUCAAACAGUCUCAGAGAAAGACUUGUUCUUUCGAGAAUCUUAGAUGUGAGGCCACACCUAAUACUGUUUGGCCUCCCCAGGUCUGUCAAGUGGCCCAGCCAGAGUUCUCUGAGCAUACAUUCAUGACCCAACCCAGAGAACCACACUGUCCCCAAUGCUGGUUGUGGUCCUAAAUGUCUCUAAGGGGCUUUUCACAGCAGUCCCUGUCCAGCAGAAGACAGAUGAAUCCUUUGACUGGGGUCUCCUGGUUUGGAGAGGCCUCCUGAGUUGACUAAAAUGAAGAUCUUUUGAUGGAAUGCCAUUUCCAGCUCCUAUGUUUGCAAAGGUGUCAGUGUGUGCCUACCACAUGUAUUUAGGAAAAUAUGUACCUCAAAUGAGCCUUAAAAACUGUCUUUGUGG